GCGCCCAUAGCUCAGCGGAACAGAGCGUCUGCCUUCUAAGCAGAGGGUCGUAGGUUCGAAUCCUACUGGGCGCGCCA
rnacentral:tRNA from 1 species